GGGCCGGGGCGGGGGGCUUAAACAUGGCAAGUCGAACGCUGAAGCCUGGUGCUUGCACCGGGUGGAUGAGUGGCGAACGGGUGAGUAACACGUGAGUAACCUGCCCCUGACUUCGGGAUAAGCCCGGGAAACUGGGUCUAAUACCGGAUACGACUGCCGGACGCAUGUCUGGUGGUGGAAAGUUUUUUCGGUUGGGGAUGGGCUCGCGGCCUAUCAGUUUGUUGGUGAGGUAAUGGCUCACCAAGACGACGACGGGUAGCCGGCCUGAGAGGGCGACCGGCCACACUGGGACUGAGACACGGCCCAGACUCCUACGGGAGGCAGCAGUGGGGAAUAUUGCACAAUGGGGGAAACCCUGAUGCAGCGACGCAGCGUGCGGGAUGACGGCCUUCGGGUUGUAAACCGCUUUCAGCAGGGAAGAAGCGCAAGUGACGGUACCUGCAGAAGAAGUACCGGCUAACUACGUGCCAGCAGCCGCGGUAAUACGUAGGGUACGAGCGUUGUCCGGAAUUAUUGGGCGUAAAGAGCUCGUAGGUGGUUGGUCACGUCUGCUGUGGAAACGCAACGCUUAACGUUGCGCGUGCAGUGGGUACGGGCUGACUAGAGUGCAGUAGGGGAGUCUGGAAUUCCUGGUGUAGCGGUGAAAUGCGCAGAUAUCAGGAGGAACACCGGUGGCGAAGGCGGGACUCUGGGCUGUAACUGACACUGAGGAGCGAAAGCAUGGGGAGCGAACAGGAUUAGAUACCCUGGUAGUCCAUGCCGUAAACGUUGGGCACUAGGUGUGGGGGGCAUUCCACGUUCUCCGCGCCGUAGCUAACGCAUUAAGUGCCCCGCCUGGGGAGUACGGUCGCAAGGCUAAAACUCAAAGGAAUUGACGGGGGCCCGCACAAGCGGCGGAGCAUGCGGAUUAAUUCGAUGCAACGCGAAGAACCUUACCAAGGCUUGACAUACACCGGACCGUCCUGGAAACAGGAUUUCUUCUUUGAAGCUGGUGUACAGGUGGUGCAUGGUUGUCGUCAGCUCGUGUCGUGAGAUGUUGGGUUAAGUCCCGCAACGAGCGCAACCCUCGUUCUAUGUUGCCAGCACGUGAUGGUGGGAACUCAUAGGAGACUGCCGGGGUCAACUCGGAGGAAGGUGGGGAUGACGUCAAAUCAUCAUGCCCUUUAUGUCUUGGGCUUCACGCAUGCUACAAUGGCUGGUACAGAGAGAGGCGAACCCGUGAGGGCAAGCGAAUCCCUUAAAGCCAGUCUCAGUUCGGAUCGUAGUCUGCAAUUCGACUACGUGAAGUCGGAGUCGCUAGUAAUCGCAGAUCAGCAACGCUGCGGUGAAUACGUUCCCGGGCCUUGUACACACCGCCCGUCAAGUCACGAAAGUCGGUAACACCCGAAGCCGGUGGCCUAACCGUAAGGAAGGGGACCGUCUAAGGGGGAUGGU
rnacentral:rRNA from 2 species